rnacentral:lncRNA from 1 species
CGAAUACGAACAGUCUCGUUAACUGUUGCACGCUAGGCAUCGUGAACACUGACGCGAGACACGAUAUUAACACUACUAAUAAAAUAUAAUAUUAUUAAUAUGAUAAUAUGAUAAUACAGUAGGAUUACUAUACUCUUAUAAAUAUUGAGCCUUUCGUACUCAUAAGUUAUUUUGAUGAUAGAGCUGCCGAAUCGACGAUCCACUCCAUUAAAUAUGAUCUAGAGUAUUUGAAACUUCUAAAAAAUAAAUUUCGUAAUUUUUCGAAAUAAUAAUAAAGUCCAUCAAGCGGGCAUAAAAUGAACGGUCAAAAUCGAACGACGUCCUCAAAAUGGAUGGUCGGAUCAUUCAAUUUAAGAUCAGAGUUAUUAAUCUUUAUUUAGAAAGUGAAUAGAAUUUUCAAUCAAAACUUCAACUGAUUCCGAUUCUUUUACACCGUUAAAUUAACAAGUAUUCCAUACCGACCGUUAAAAAUUGGUAAUUUUAUAACCUUUUGAUCAUAAGGUAAAUAAUGUCGAAAAAUUUUGAAAUUUGAUUUCUACAAGUUUUAAAUGCUCGAGAUAAUGUUUAACGGUUUAGAUCGUCGAUUCAGAAGCUCCAUCAUCGAAAACAACUUAUGAGUACGAGGACGAUCGUACUCAUAAGACUAUAGUAGCCGGACUCUAUGAUAAUAUAUUUUUAUGAUAUAUAAAAUAUUAAUUUUGGUAAAAUAUUAUUAUAUUUCUAAUACAAAUGAAAGAUAGUGAAAUUUUUAUUAAUAAUUUAUAUAUUUAAAAGAAAAUUCUCAACCACACAUAAUUUAUUUAUAUUGUCAAAAAAAUUAUAUACAUUUAUUAAAAAGUUAAAAUAUUUAUUAUCUUUAUAUUAUAUAUGCAUAGAAAAAAUAAAAUAAGAAAUAGGUUUAAUUUUCUUUUUAGUUGUAUGCGUUAUGAAUCUGCACUAAACGCGCGUUCAAAGAGUGUCCAUAUCAAACACGUGUCUGACACGGACACGCACGUACUCGAUAUGGACAUGCGAGGUUUAUAAAAGUGUCCGUGAUACGUAGGUUGCACCUAUGCGUAUGCAUGAUUAGUAGCGGCCCCACGCUAGUGGCUGCACGAAUCUUGAUG